GUUUGGCGUCGGCAUUGUUUGUGAUUUCUCAUCUAUUCUCGCUUUGAGUCGUUGUUUACCGAACUUCUUUCAUCUUUUGUCUUGUUCUAUGCCGACGUUGUUUGAAGGUUCCCGAUCGUCGCUGCAUUGAUUUGCCUUUUUGGUUCAUGACCAUAGGUCUUUUCGAGGUCAUUUGAGUUUGAUGCUUCCUCCUGGUGCUUGAGCUUGGGGACCUGAACUUCUUGUUACUUUGAGGAAGUCGAUUUCUCCUCGGCCUGAGCUGAGUUUCCUUUUAUUGACUGAGGGUUUCUUGAUAGGAGCAUCCUUCCUCAUUGAGAUGAGGUCCCUUGUGUCUUUGAUGUAGAUUGUUUUUCACUUAUCGCUGGUG
rnacentral:lncRNA from 1 species